rnacentral:rRNA from 1 species
ACUCAAAUGAAUUGACGGGGGCUCACACAAGCGGUGGAGCAUGUGGCUUAAUUCGAAGCAACGCGCAGAACCUUACCAGGGCUUGACAUGUACGGAUUAGUGGGGUGAAAGCCUCAUGACGCUCGCAAGAGUGGAACGUACACAGGUGCUGCAUGGCUGUCGUCAGCUCGUGCUGUGAAGUGUCGCGUUAAGUCGCUUAACGAGCGAAACCCUUAUCCUUAGUUGCCAGCGGGUCAUGCCGGGAACUCUAGGGAGACUGCCGGUGUUAAACCGGAGGAAGGUGGGGAUGACGUCAAGUCCUCAUGGCCUUUAUGCCCUGGGUUGCACACGUGCUACAAUGGCGUAUACAAAGCGACGCAAGCCAGCGAUGGCAAGCAAAUCGCCUAAAGUACGCCCCAGUUCAGAUCGCAGGCUGCAACCCGCCUGCGUGAAGUUGGAAUCGCUAGUAAUCGCGGAUCAGCUACGCCGCGGUGAAUAUGUUCCUGAGCCUUGUACACACCGCCCGU